AAUAACAUCAUCAUAAUCAUUGAAUAAUCUAAGCUGUAAAACAUAACACUUAUCACGCCUCUUGUAAUUCAAUCAUUGUACAACAUAUCCUUUUCUCAUUUACCAGCCUACUAGUAUCCGUGGGGGUCCAUAGGGGUCCCGCUACCCGUUAACCUUUAACAUUCAUAAUCAGUUUCCAGGGCCGUCCCCAUACCCCGUCCGGUAUGGGCGCCAAAACCAUGAACCUCAAUACCCCGUCCGGUAUGAAGGUGAAACGGGCCGUCCCCAUACCCCGUCCGGUAUGGGCGCCAAAACCAUAAACCUCAAUACCCCGUCCGGUAUGAGGGUGAAACGGGCCGUCCCC
rnacentral:lncRNA from 1 species